CCAUCAUAUCAUGGCAAGCCUUGUUUCUUUUUGGCGACCCCAGUCACGCCGGCCGCACUAAUAAGUUUCGAACAGAGAAACCGGUGUCUCGAUGUUGGGGGCAUAAGCUUUCAGCUGGACGCAAAAAAAAAAGGAGUUAGGGAGGCCGCUAGGAAAGGGUCGGCAUGGCCGCCAUGGUCUUGCUUGCCGUGCUGCCCUUGGACUAUGGAGUGCCGGACGGGAGGAACUCCUGCCUACCACUACCAGCGUAGCAGCAAGUGGCACGACGGGCACACGCCUAUCAUUUGCGCAAAGCGCAUGGGACGUGGUGACAGGCAAGUGCUUGCUGCUGCGUGACGUCAGGAGACAUCAGGCAAAGACUGGGU